rnacentral:lncRNA from 1 species
AAAAUCGAAGAGUCUUAAUGAGACCGACAGUGAUGACACUUUGAAUUGGUUUGAUAGUAUAGCAGAAGGUAACAUGGAAAGUGAGAAGGUCAGUUGUAAUUUUCCAGUUGCAGUAACAUCUCAGGACAAUCCGGCUUUGGAAGCAACGAAUAGUAGAUCUUCUAAAAAGACCAACUGUUUAAGAGAAUCUGAGCAAACCAAGAAGAGGGAAUCAGUGACCAAAAAAUACCAGGGGAACUCUUGUAUACAGACUAUUUUUGCCCUUGAGAGGACACAAAAGCCUAUAAACUCCCCUUCAGGGACAGUCCAUAAAGGUUCAGAUGCUACACCUAGCACACCUAACUUGAUCAUUACUCAAAGGGCCUCUAAGAAGUGGCAGAAGAGAAAUAUUGAAAGCAUUAAGAGAUUUUGUAUGAAUACAGCAGAUUCCAAGACUGAGGAUACUCAAUCUUCAUUAUCUUCUCAUUCUGCAAUUAUCCCAGAUUGUCCUGAAAAAGAUACCGGGGCUUCUCUGUGUCACAGUGUGCCUUCGAGGCAUUUGACAUCAACAUCUUUAAAUCGGAAGCGAAAUAGAGACCAAACCAACAAAGUAAGAAAUUGCAAUGAACCUGUCAUCCCUGAGAAAUCAGAAGCUGCCCCUACUAAGUUUGCAAAGUUUUCCUUUCAACGAAAGCCUAAGCUUUCUCUGUCUCCUGAAAAUGAGGAACGUCAGACAUUACAGGAAACUAUUUACAACCCUGACCUUUUUACCCAAAGUACAUCAAAAGGAGAAAAUCUGAGGGAAGAAGAUCCUGAUAAACAUCAGGAAAGCAACAGUCUUAACCCAGGAAAUACGGCCAAGGAGAAACAAGCCUGUAAAAACAAGAAAGAGGAAGACAAGCCAAAGCCAACUAAAGCCACAGCCAUUUCUUUUACAAAUACGUCAGGGACAAGAAUAACAAAUUUGGAUGGUCAAAAUUCAAGAAAAGUGUGCCCCAGCACUUUAGCAAAGCUAGCAAAGUUUGCCUUUAUACCAUCAGAUGAAUCUCCAGUUUCUUUGAAUAUCACCACUAAUGAAAAAGUGAGAGAAAGGCAGCCAUUGAAGACUCAGAAAGAUUGUGCAGAACCCAC